ACGGGGGCGUGAGGGGCGGGCGCGCUCCCGAGACACCAGCGGGGACACGGUCCCGGGACAAAGUCCUGGGAAACACCAACCGGGACACCAACCCGGGACAGACACCAUCUCCGGACACGAUCUGGGAAACACCAUCCCCGGACGCGAUCUGGGAAACACCAUCCCCGGACGCGAUCUGGGAAACACCAUCCCCAGACACCAACCCGGGACGAAGUCCUGGGAAACACCAUCCCCAGGCGCGCUCCCGGGCCGCCCCAGAGCCGCCCCCCCGGCUCUCCCCAGGCGCGGGGAAGGCGCACCCGGGCAGGGACGGGCAGCCCCGGCUGUGGAAGGGCCCGGUGUCACUGGGGGCCGGUGGCAGAGAAGGGCCGCCGAGCCCCUUCCAAGGCGGGCGGCUGGAUGGUGCUUGUGUCAGUACUGUGACCCUGGGGAGGGGGCAAGGGAUGAAAUCUGUCUUUACGGGCGUUCUGUAACCUCUUUGUUACUGCUAUCUCCUAAGGCUUGAAAGCCAUCACUGAACACAUGAAGUAAAAACCUAGGGAGGAAAGGACAACGAAGAAAAGCAGGCUGAGAACUUUGCCCACAACAUCACGGUGUUUCAGGCUGUGCUGUGUGUGAGAUCACUGCUGGCCUGUGGGCACGACAGUCAAGGACAGACGUUUCUUUGUAGGACAAAACUGCUGCUUCGAUGAGAUCAGAGAGGAGAGGAGGGACCUCCCUGCCCAGGCUGCUCAUAACACUUUCCGGGGAGGUGACACAUCAGUCCGGGUGGAGACUCUGCAGAAAGGGUCGUUUUGAACAUUUUUAAGAUUAGCCCAGAAGGCCCAUCAUAUUCAAAUUUGGCUUACAGAAUUGUCAUAUAAAAUAACCACAUUUUUACUGGAAAAUAUAAUUGUACCUCAGAAAAAAAACCCACCAACCCUGUUAUUCUAAUCUAGCAAACUCAUUUAAGGGCCAGAUCAAAGGUGAACAUAGUGGUGGAGAAUGUACUAUGACAGCUGCACACUGUUUUUCCAGGUCAUUCCCUUUGUCAGGGGUAGUCUUUUCUUUCCCUCUUGAAAUAGAAGUUUUAUGAUUUCUGAAAGACAGACACGGUGCAGACAAAAGUUACUUAAAUAAUAAAGCUUGUUUUCAACACCAGUUUUUAUGUUUGGUUAAAUACCUAGCUAAAAGGUUCUUAAAGAA